AUCGAACGCUGGCGGCAGGCCUAACACAUGCAAGUCGAGCGGAUGAAGGGAGCUUGCUCCUGGAUUCAGCGGCGGACGGGUGAGUAAUGCCUAGGAAUCUGCCUGGUAUGGGGGGAUAACGUCCGGAAACGGGCGCUAAUACCGCAUACGUCCUGAGGGUGAAAGAGGGGGAUCUUCGGACCUCACGCUAUCAGAUGAGCCUAGGUCGGAUUAGCUAGUUGGUGGGGUAAAGGCCUACUAAGGCGACGAUCCGUAACUGGUCUGAGAGGAUGAGCAGUCACACUGGAACUGAGACACGGUCCAGACUCCUACGGGAGGCAGCAGUGGGGAAUGUUGGACAGUGGGCGAGAGCCUGAUCCAGCCAUGCCGCGUGUGUGAAGAAGGUCUUCGGAUUGUAAAGCGCUUUAAGUUGGGAGGAAGGGCAGUAAGUUAAUACCUUGCUGUUUUGACGUUACCGACAGAAUAAGCACCGGCUAACUUCGUG
rnacentral:rRNA from 1 species